rnacentral:rRNA from 1 species
UUCCUACGGGAGGCAGCAGUGAGGAAUAUUGGUCAAUGGCCGAGAGGCUGAACCAGCCAAGUCGCGUGAGGGAAGACGGCCCUACGGGUUGUAAACCUCUUUUGUCGGGGAGCAAAGCGAGUCACGUGUGACUCAUUGAGAGUACCCGAAGAAAAAGCAUCGGCUAACUCCGUGCCAGCAGCCGCGGUAAUACGGAGGAUGCGAGCGUUAUCCGUAUUUAUUGGGCGUAAAGGGAACGCAGGCGGUCUUUUCAGUCUGAU